rnacentral:antisense_RNA from 1 species
AGCAAAAACCCCGAUAAUCUUCUUCAACUUUGGCGAGUACGAAAAGAUUACCGGGGCCCACUUAAACCGUAUAGCCAACAAUUCAGCUAUGCGGGGAG